CUCUAAAAACAAGUGCGAUCCGAGGCGUAUUCCUCGGUCCAAUCAAAUUCAAAUUCUCUGACAUAAUCUGCAGCAAUCCGUAACACAAUCUUUUGUACGGUUUAAUCUUAGCCGUUUAUUUUCUUUCUUAUGGCCCGAUCUCUAUUCUCAUUUUGUCUUAUCUGCGGCACUAAUUAGGUUAUCUUAAUUACCGCCGUCUAUUCAUCAUUAUAGCCGACCUCGAAACUUGCUUCGAUAUGACAGUUCGAUACGACGGCCUUUUCUUCUUCCCCAAGCUUCUCAUUCUUUUGUCUCUUCUAUCUCUUUUAUCUCUUUUUGUUUUUCCCUGACGAAAAUUCUCCUUCGCCUCUUUUGUCGUCUUCUUCAUCUUCCUUUGCUU
rnacentral:lncRNA from 1 species